UACAGAGGUCCCAAGCGUUGUUCGGAUUCACUGGGCGUAAAGGGUGCGUAGGCGGCCGGGUAAGUCUGAUGUGAAAUCCCGCAGCUCAACUGCGGAACUGCAUCGGAUACUCUCCGGCUAGAGGAAUGGAGGGGAGACUGGAAUACUUGGUGUAGCAGUGAAAUGCGUAGAUAUCAAGUGGAACACCAGUGGCGAAGGCGAGUCUCUGGACAUUUCCUGACGCUGAGGCACGAAAGCCAGGGGAGCAAACGGG
rnacentral:rRNA from 1 species